rnacentral:rRNA from 1 species
ACUCCUACGGGAGGCAGCAGUGGGGAAUUUUGCGCAAUGGGGGAAACCCUGACGCAGCAACGCCGCGUGAGUGAUGAAGGCCUUCGGGUCGUAAAGCUCUGUCAGAGGGGAAGAAGUGCAGUGGUGCUAAUAUCGCCAUUGUUUGACGGUACCCUCAAAGGAAGCACCGGCUAACUCCGUGCCAGUAGCCGCGGUAAUACGGAGGGUGCGAGCGUUGUUCGGAAUUAUUGGGCGUAAAGCGCGUGUAGGCGGUUUUCUAAGUCUGAUGUGAAAGCCCCGGGCUCAACCUGGGAAGUGCAUUGGAAACUGGGGAACUUGAAUACGGGAGAGGGCAGUGGAAUUCCUAGUGUAGGAGUGAAAUCCGUAGAUAUUAGGAGGAACACCGGUGGCGAAGGCAGCUGCCUGGACCGAUAUUGACGCUGAGACGCGAAAGCGUGGGGAGCAAACAGGAUUAGAUACCCUGGUAGUCCACGCCGUAAACGAUGAGAACUAGGUGUUGCGGGUA